UCUGAUUCUUCUGAGACACAAAGAAUUUGUUUGUCUCGCUUAUGAGAGCUGAGGGAGUGAUGGCACAGAAGGCUAAAUCUUCACCAUCCCCCUGGAAAGGACCUCUAUCAAGCACGCUCGUGUCUGAAUUACAUCUCAGCCCUAGGGAAGAUGGUUUCUUCAGUUCCCCUUCAAGCCCUCCAUUCAUGCGCUGUAGCGGGAUGAACUCAGAAAGCCCUUGCGCUCCCAGGUCUGCCUUCCUCAUUUCCUUCCACACAUUUCCAGCUGCCCUUGCCCAAAGCUGGCCAGGCACAGCCACAAAGCCCACCCCAAGCCCACAAGUGGACAGGAGCCUUCCCAGCUGCUGGAUGAUUCCUCACCAGGACAGCAUGGGCACGAGUUUCAGUACAGCCUCACUUAUUCCUGCCUGGGAUCUGCAUGGAGUCAGCACAGCCUGGGGUCAUGUCAGCAAAGCCUGAACAAUUGUCUUGGGUACCCAAAGAGGCAGAGGAAUACUUUCAAAGACGUUGUUCAUGUUACCCAUGUCGUGUGCUGCUGUAGGUGACACCGUCAUAUGUUCUAGACAUUCAGGGUUGCUGUUCCCUGCAUGUAGCAGCUGAAAUUAGACCCCUGGUAGUGGCGUAGCCCUACUGCAGCAGCUCUCAUCUGUACAGUCACGUUUGCCAUUCCAGCCAUGGUGAAGUGUUCUCUCACUGGCUCACCAGUGCUUCAGCACACCCACUUCUUUCCUAAGAUUUGGCUAAAGAUCAGAGCAGCUUGGUUAUAAUAGCAUUUGGCAGUAAGUCUACCAAGCAACCUGGCCUGAACAGCUGAAAGGAGAGCAGCAAAGCAAAGUACUGAGACUCAGUAUUCCAGAAGGAAAUUUUUGGGCAUCCCUUACAACCAGCAUAUCCUCGAAUUUCUAUUUCUGCCUCGUUUGUCUCUGUGUAACACUUUUGUUUUCAAUCUUCCUUCCCUCUUUUCUUACAAUUAGCAAGGGAGAGGGGUGAAUUGUGAAGUCAGAUUACAAGCACCUGCCUCAGCCUGUGUGUGUGCAUGCAGGCACAUAGGCAUGGGAGAGCAACCACUGCCAAAGAGAAGAGCUGGAAACAGACUAGUGAAAAAGAAAUAAAGCUGAGGAUAGUGAGUUACAAGAAAGUGGGUGAGAAAAGUAGAAAAACUAUCACAACAGUUUCUCGUCACCAGCUGGCACAGCAACUUUGCUAGGGAAAACCUAGAGGCUUUCAGUGCGGUAUAUUUAGUAAAUGGGGUAUUACGAUUCAAUUCAAUUACAAAACAUCAUACAUAAAGGCAUUUUAAUAUUUUCUAUGGGAACACUGAUACUGGAACUGAACUGCUUUUAAACAAACCCCAAAGCCUUUGCCUUGGUUAUUCACGUAACCAAGUGUGAGGCGGCUUCGGGCUUCCCAGAAGGUGGAGGCCACUAGUGUCAAUUCUAGGAGAAGGAACUCCUCUUAAGGAAAUCCCUAGGAUCAAUCAUCAAUCCAGGCUUCCUGAUGGACAAGAUUUUGUGUGCAAAGAUCCCAUAGUUACAGAUGUGCUGCCUGAAAAGCAGGUUUUGCAGUGCAUCUUGCAUCACAGUGGCCAGAUCCUGGACAUACAUCAAAGCCUCUACCUUAUGAGUCGCAGCAGACAACAAGAUGUACUGCCUGCUCUGAUGUGCACGGCACAGGCUCUGCCUUUGCAGGGCAGGGUACCACACCUCACGCCAAGCCGGUGAUGUUAGCGGCAUCGCAGGGAAUAGCCCUUCCUCUGAGUAACAGCCUGCUCAGGGAUCAGGCCGAGGCAGGUUUCCUCCUGACUUAUUUCUGUACGUCCACGCUCUCUGUAAGACUGGCCUGCUGCAGCAUAUCGCAUGGAAUUCAUUAGCACAUCCCUUCUGAUAAUCCUCCCUGGGUUUAACACAGCAUAUUCAUUGAUUUUUCCUGGUC